ACAUCCAGCGAAUUCGGUAGAGAUACCUUAGUGCCUUCGGGAACGCUGAGACAGGUGCUGCAUGGCUGUCGUCAGCUCGUGUUGUGAAAUGUUGGGUUAAGUCCCGCAACGAGCGCAACCCUUAUCCUUUGUUGCCAGCGGUCCGGCCGGGAAUUCAAAGGAGACUGCCAGUGAUAAACUGGAGGAAGGUGGGGAUGACGUCAAGUCAUCAUGGCCCUUACGAGUAGGGCUACACACGUGCUACAAUGGCGCAUACAAAGAGAAGCGACCUCGCGAGAGCAAGCGGACCUCAUAAAGUGCGUCGUAGUCCGGAUUGGAGUCUGCAACUCGACUCCAUGAAGUCGGAGUCGCUAGUAAUCGUAGAUCAGAAUGCUACGGUGAAUACGUUCCCGGGCCUUGUACACACCGCCCGUCACACCAUGGGAGUGGGUUGCAAAAGAAGUAGGUAGCUUAACCUUCGGGAGGGCGCUUACCACUUUGUGAUUCAUGACUGGGGUGAAGUCGUAACAAGGUAAGCGUAGCGAG
rnacentral:rRNA from 1 species